AGCAGCCGCGGUAAUUCCAGCUCCAAUAGCGUAUAUUAAAGUUGUUGCAGUUAAAAAGCUCGUAGUUGAAUUUCGGGGUCAAUUCGUCGGUCGUGCCUUCGGUACGCACUAACGAUAUUGAUUCCUCCUUUCUGACGAACCGUGAUGUCAUUAAUUUGGUGUUACGGGGGGUCAGGACUGUUACCUUGAAAAAAUUAGAGUGUUUAAAGCAGGCAAUCGCUCGAAUACAUUAGCAUGGAAUAAUGAAAUAGGACGUUUGAUCCUAUUUUGUUGGUUUCUAGGAUUGACGUAAUGAUUAAUAGGGAUAGUUGGGGGCAUUAGUAUUCAAUUGUCAGAGGUGAAAUUCUUGGAUUUAUUGAAGACUAACUACUGCGAAAGCAUUUGCCAAGGAUGUUUUCAUUAAUCAAGAACGAAAGUUAGGGGAUCGAAGACGAUCAGAUACCGUCGUAGUCUUAACCAUAAACUAUGCCGACUAGGGAUCGGAUGAUGUUAAUUUUUUAAUGACUCA
rnacentral:rRNA from 1 species